rnacentral:rRNA from 1 species
UACGUAGGGUGCGAGCGUUAAUCGGAAUUACUGGGCGUAAAGCGUGCGCAGGCGGUUUUGUAAGGCAGAUGUGAAAGCCCCGGGCUUAACCUGGGAAUGGCAUUUGGGACUGCAAGGCUUGAGUGCGGCAGAGGAGACUGGAAUUCCUGGUGUAGCAGUGAAAUGCGUAGAUAUCAGGAGGAAUACCGAUGGCGAAGGCAGGUCUCUGGGCUGACACUGACGCUCAUGCACGAAAGCGUGGGGAGCAAACAGG